AACGAACGCUGGCGGCAUGCCUAACACAUGCAAGUCGAACGAGACCUUCGGGUCUAGUGGCGCACGGGUGCGUAACGCGUGGGAACCUGCCCUUAGGUUCGGAAUAACUCCCCGAAAGGGGUGCUAAUACCGGAUAAUGUCUUCGGACCAAAGAUUUAUCGCCUUUGGAUGGGCCCGCGUUGGAUUAGCUAGUUGGUAGGGUAAAAGCCUACCAAGGCGACGAUCCAUAGCUGGUCUGAGAGGAUGAUCAGCCACCCUGGGACGGAGACAGGGCCCAGACUCCGACGGGAGGCAGCAGUGGGGAAUAGUGGACAAUGGGCGAAAGCGAGAUCCAGCAAUGCCGCGUGAGUGAUGAAGGCCUUAGGGUUGUAAAGCUUUUUUACCCGGGAUGAUAAUGACAGUACCGGGAGAAUAAGCUCCGGCAAACCCCG
rnacentral:rRNA from 1 species